UUUGGGAGGAAGCAAGUGCAUCCCGCUCUUCCGGCUGCGUUAAUGGCCGGGUGCGGGGGAGACGCAUCGCUCCGAGGGGCUUCUAUUCUCUCGCCUCCCUUUCUCCCCAGAUGCACUCUCCGCUUCCCCUCCCCUCGCCCCUUUUUGUACGAACGCUCUCUCGGCCGAUUUUUCAUGCUCCGCUAACUGCCGGCGCUUUCACGACCCGCGUGAGCUUUGCUGCCUCAUGAAGAUUUAUGAAACUGCAGUAAUAAACUGUGUUUGAAAAGAUCCUUUUGAUGAUAAAGCCCCGCCGGGCUGCUGGCGGGGGGGACCCGGGCGCACCGCGCCGCCGAGCCCGCAGCCGCUCUCGCGGGGCAGCGCCCGCAGCACCGGGAAGGUUUUUGGGGGCCUUUCCCACCCUGAAGAGCAUCACCUAAAGCACGGUCAGGCUCCGGUGCCCCCGGCGCCUCUGUUUUCCCGGGAAGCAGGCGAUGGCCGGACCCUGCUAGCAGCCCGGGGCCGUGCCCCGGCGCGGGUGACACCUUCUGCUGGCGGGUGAGGAAGAUGGAUGGAUGAAUCCGCAAAGAGAACCGCGUUCCCUUAACCUCCCGCUGCUCGGAGAGGGGCUGGCCAGGAUUUACCGCGGGAUUUUGGCUGUCGUGGGAGCCCUGCGCUCGGCCAAGGAGCCGCCUCCAGCCCCUGCAGAGCCCCGGGGGGCUGCAGCCCCCAGCCCGCCGGAGCAGUUCCCCGGCCGCCGUGGGAGCCGAGCUGCGCCCGCGGAUCCCGAAAGGACGAGCGGCCACAUGAUCUCCGCGGACGAUGCCGAGUACCCGCGGGAGUACCGGACCCUGGGCAACGGCACCCGGCGCUUCUCCAACGUAGGGCUGGUGCACACCUCGGAGCGCCGGCACACCGUGAUCGCCGCCCAGAGCCUGGAGGCCCUCACCGGCCUCCAGAAGACGGAGAUGGAGCGCAAGAGGGACGCCUUCAUGGACCACCUGAAGAGCAAGUACCCGCAGCACGCGCUGGCGCUGCGGGGGCAGCAGGAGAGGAUGCGGGACCAGCAACCCAACUACUGGAGCUUUAAGACGAGGAGCUCCCGACACUCCCAGGGCUCCCAGCCUGGCUUGGCCGACCAAGCCAAGCUCUCCUUCGCCUCGGCCGAAUCCCUGGAAACGAUGUCGGAAGCGGAGCUGCCCCUGGGGUUCAACAGGAUGAACCGGUUCCGGCAGAGCUUGCCCCUGUCCCGGUCCACCAGCCAGACCAAGCUGCGAUCUCCAGGGGUCCUUUUCCUGCAGUUCGGGGACGAGACGAGGCGCGUGCACAUCACGCACGAGAUCAGCAGCAUGGACACCCUACACGCCCUCAUCGUGCACAUGUUCCCCCAGAAGCUCACCAUGGGCAUGCUGAAGUCCCCCAACACCGCCAUCCUCAUCAAGGACGAGUCCCGGAACGUCUUCUACGAGCUGGAGGAUGUCCGCGACAUCCAGGACAGAAGCAUCAUUAAAAUCUACCGGAAAGAGCCACUCUACGCCUCGUUCCCAGCCUCCCACAUCACCAACGGUGACCUGAGGAGGGAGAUGGUGUACACGUCCAGGGAAUCGUCUCCCACCCGCCGGCUCAACAACAUGUCCCCGGCGUCCCACCUGGCCUCGGGGUCGCCCCCGCCCGUGCUGCAGUCCUCGUCCCCGUCCCGCUCCCGCAUGUCCUACAGCGGGGGCCGCCCGCCCUCCUACGCCGGCAGCCCCGUGCACCACGGCGAGCGCCUGGCCAGCCUCCCGCCCGCCCCCGGCGUGUCCCCCAGCCCCAGCGCCAUCCUGGAGCGCCGCGACGUGAAGCCCGACGAGGACCUGGCCGGGAAGAACGUGGUGCUGGUGAAGAACGAGGGGCUCUACGCCGACCCCUACGGGAUGGUGCACGAGGGCCGGCUCAGCAUCACCUCCACGCAGUCCCUGGCGGGCAUGGGGGACCCCUUUGGCUACUCGGGGGGGCUGUACAAGCGGGGCUCCGUGCGCUCCCUCAGCACCUACUCGGCGGCGGCGCUGCAGUCGGAGCUGGAGGACGGGCUGUACAAGCCCAACGCGCCCAUCUACGGCGACACGUACGGCCCCGGGCUGGGCUUCCGCGUGCCCCCCUCGUCCCCGCAGAAGAUGGUGGACGUGCAGCCGGGGCAGAGCCCCCACAGCCCCUACUCGGGGCCCCCCAGCCGCUCCUCGCCCGUCCGCCAGUCCUUCCGCAAGGAUUCCUGCUCCUCGGUGUUCAUGGACAGCCCCGUGGGCAAGACGCGCAACCCCAGCUCCUCCGGCCCCCCCGAGCUCUUCCCCGGCCCCGGUGAGCGCCCGCUCUCAGGGUUUGGCUCCCCCGGACCCGCCAAGGACACGGAGACGAGGGAGCGGAUGGAGGCCAUGGAGAAGCAGAUUGCCAGCCUGACAGGGCUGGUGCAGAGCGCUCUGCUCCGCGGCUCCGAGGCUGAGACCCCCAGCGAGAAGACAGAAGCCACCAACGGUGGGACCCCCCCGUCGGCGUCCACCAGCCGCAGCGGGGGCACCCCGGUGCCCGCGCCACCGCCGCCCUCGGCCAGCAGCACCCCGGCGGGGCAGCCCACGGCCAUCACCCGCCUGCACAUGCAGCUGCACCUCCACGACCUGCAGCAGAACGCCAGCGACCUGCGCAACCAGCUGCAGCAGCUCAGGAAGCUGCAGCUGCAGAACCAGGAGACGGUGAAGACGCUGCUGCGGCGGACGGAGACGGAGAUCAGCGUGCGGGUGACGGACACCGUGCGCAAGCACGAGGACCCUCUGCAGCGCCAGCGCAGCCUCGUGGAGGAGGAGCGGCUCCGCUACCUCAACGAGGAGGAGCUCAUCACCCAGCAGCUCAAUGACCUGGAGAAGUCUGUGGAGAAGAUCCAGAAGGAUCUGGCCCACAAUCACCGGCUGAUCCCUGUGCAGGAGCUGGAGGAGAAGGCGGUGGUGCUCAAGCAGCUGGGGGAGACGCUCACAGACCUGAAGGCCCAGUUCCCCAGCCUGCAGAGCAAGAUGCGGGUGGUGCUGCGGGUGGAGGUGGAAGCUGUGAAGUUCCUCAAGGAGGAGCCGAACCGGCUCGAUGGGCUCCUCAAACGCUGCAAGACAGUGACAGACACCCUCGCCCAGAUCCGCAGGCAAGUGGACGAGGGCGUGUGGACCUCCCCCAGCAACCUCAGCCAGUCCCCCAAGAAGGUGGCCCCCGAGACGGACUUCAGCAAAGGGCUGGAUUUGGAGAUGCCCACCAGCCCCCCCGUGAGCCUGGGCAUGCCCAGCUUCGGGCACAGCCCCCCCCAGACCCAGAGCCACCCCUCCAAGAGCAAUAACCCCGCCCGAGCCCCGGAGAUGGUGCCCGCCAAGACACAGACGGGGCCGGAGACCCCCAGCAAGAAGAGCGCGGACAAAGCUGUGUCCGUGGAGGCGGCCGAGCGGGACUGGGAGGAGAAACGGGCAGCGCUGACCCAGUACAGUGCCAAGGACAUCAACCGGCUCCUGGAGGAGACGCAGGCCGAGCUCAUGAAGGCCAUCCCCGACCUGGAAUUCGCUGCCAAGCACAAACAAGCCCCGGGCAGCGGCAGCGCCGCCUCCACCCCCGAGCACAAACCCUCCAAGCCGCAGCACGCGCCGAAAUCGGGGGGCAAAGGGGACCCCAACGGCCGCCGGGGCUCAGACGAGCUGACGGUGCCGCGGUACCGGACCGAGAAACCCUCCAAAUCCCCCCCACCUCCCCCUCCACGCCGGAGCUUCCCCUCGUCCCACGGGCUGACCACCACCCGCAGCGGGGAGGUCAUCGUCACCAGCAAGAAGGAGCCCGGGUUUAUGAAGAAGGCCGAGUCGGAGGAGCUGGAGACGCAGAAGCCGCAGGUGAAGCUGAGGAGGACGGUGUCCGAGGUGGUCAGGCCGGCCUCCACCCCCCCCAUCAUCGCCUCGGCCAUCAAGGACGACGACGACGAGGAUCGGAUCAUCGCCGAGCUGGAGGUGUUUCAGAGAAGCUCUGCCUCCCCUUUCCUCCCCAAGCUCCAUCACGAGCCACUCGUGGCCGUCUGCCCUGGGCUGGCAGAGCUGUGGCCCAACGGAGCCUCCGUUGCAGCCCAAGGAUGGAAGAGCGGCGGCGUGUCCAUCCCGGCCAUGAAGGUGGUGAAUCCGGCGUCGCGGCUGAAGCAGAGCCAGCAGGGCAGCCCCGACAAGAGCAAGCACAUAAAGCAGCGGAUGGAGUACAUGCGCAUCCAGGGCCAGCAGCAGAGCUCUCGGAGCUUCACUCCACCGGUCCCACCAGCUUCGAGCCAAGAGGAGCUCCGACCUUCACCCCCCGGCCCCGCGCGCCAGGGGGGGAAACGGCGCCUGCCGAAGACGCCCCCGGCACCCCCCGAGCCGAGCGGGAGCCCCCCGAGCGUCCCGGGAGCCCCCCGGCAGGAGGAGAGGACCCCCGGCGCCCCGGCCGGGCCUCGGCGGUGGGUGGUCGGUGACGCCGCGGCCGCGCCACGUCCUUCGCCGGCCGAGGGCUCGGUGACCUCCCGGGGGGGUGUCACCGCUGCCACCACCCCCCGGGGGCCGGGGGGGAGGCAGGAGGGGCCGGGGGGUGCCCGGCCGUGCCGGAGGGGCCGGAGGGUGAGGGUGUGAAACGGGGAGGGGGCGACCGCGGCUGCCCGAGCCCCCCCGCCCCAGGGCGGAACGAAGCACUUUAAGCGGGCACCGGGGUGGGGGGACAGGGGGACGGGGGGGGUCCCACCGCACGGGGACACCCUGCCCGACCUCUGCCACCUUCCCCAGGGGAUAAGGAGGUGGGACAAGUCCCCGGAGCCCCCUGCUCCGGGUGGGGAGCCCACCCUGGGGGAGCAGCCCCGGCCCCGCCCGGCCUGGGGGACCUGAGGGGUCCCCGGGGUGCGUGGCCAGGUGAUGCCUGUCCGUGGCCACACCCACCACAGCUGAGCCAGGUGUGCCCAGGAGUGCCCAGCUGUGCUCCAGGUGUGCCCAGGUGUGCCCAGCUGUGCUCCAGGAGUGCCCAGGUGCGCCCAGGUGUGCCCAGGUGUAUGCCAGGUGUGCACCAGGUGUGCCCAGCUGUGCUCCAGGUGUGCCCAGUUGUGGACCAGUUGUGCCCAGGUGUGCACCAGGUGUGUUCAGCUGUGCCCAGCUGUGCCCCAGCUGUGCCCAGGUGUGCCCAGGUGUGCCCAGGUGUGCCCCAGGUGUGCCCAGCUGUGCCCAGGUGUG